rnacentral:lncRNA from 1 species
GUACCUUUUAAAAUUAAUGUUGAAAGAUAGGUCAACAGAAUCAAUAAUAAUAAUGGCUUAAUCAUGGUCCAAACUCUAAAAAAGUAAUAGAGAUAAGACAAUGUCAUCAAGAUCGAUGAUGAACCACAUGAAAAACUCAGCAUACACAAUCAUCCCUCAAACCUAAGCCUCAAAGAUAGAAUAGGGAUUAUGCGAUAUAGAAGGAGACAG